ACAAGAGGUGCAGUGUUUGUGGGACUAUUGGACACAACAAGAGGUUCCAUGGCUCGCAAAGACAAAGGACAACUGGAGAACAACAAAAUGAAGAAGAUGCUAGACAGCAUAUGGACCCCAUGGACACAAUUAAUCCGGAAG